CCUGGGGCUGAAGCCGGUCCCAAGGGUAUGGCUGUUCGCCAUUUAAAGUGGUACGCGAGCUGGGUUUAGAACGUCGUGAGACAGUUCGGUCCCUAUCUGUCGUGGGCGUUGGAGAUUUGAGGAGAGCUGCUUCUAGUACGAGAGGACCGAAGUGGACAAACCUCUGGUGUUCGGGUUGUCAUGCCAAUGGCAUUGCCCGGUAGCUACGUUUGGACAGGAUAACCGCUGAAAGCAUCUAAGCGGGAAGCCCCCUCCAAGAUUAGAUCUCCCUGGGACUUUAAGUCCCCUAAAGGGCCGUUCAAGACUAGGACGUUGAUAGGCUGGAUGUGGAAGCGCUGUGAAGCGUUGAGCUAACCAGUACUAAUUGCCCGUGAGGCUUGACCAUAUAAUAGAGAUG
rnacentral:rRNA from 1 species